rnacentral:rRNA from 1 species
GAUGAACGCUGGCGGCGUGCCUAAUACAUGCAAGUCGAGCGAACAGAUGAGGAGCUUGCUCCUCUGACGUUAGCGGCGGACGGGUGAGUAACACGUGGAUAACCUACCUAUAAGACUGGGAUAACUUCGGGAAACCGGAGCUAAUACCGGAUAAUAUAUUGAACCGCAUGGUUCAAUAGUGAAAGACGGUUUUGCUGUCACUUAUAGAUGGAUCCGCGCCGCAUUAGCUAGUUGGUAAGGUAACGGCUUACCAAGGCAACGAUGCGUAGCCGAACUGAGAGGGUGAUCGGCCACACUGGAACGGAGACACGGUCCAGACUCCUACGGGAGGCAGCAGUAGGGAAUCUUCCGCAAUGGGCGAAAGCCUGACGGAGCAACGCCGCGUGAGUGAUGAAGGUCUUCGGAUCGUAAAACUCUGUUAUUAGGGAAGAACAAAUGUGUAAGUAACUAUGCACGUCUUGACGGUACCUAAUCAGAAAGCCACGGCUAACUACGUG